GGUAUCAGAAGUGCGAAUGCUGACAUAAGUAACGAUAAAGCGGGUGAAAAGCCCGCUCGCCGGAAGACCAAGGGUUCCUGUCCAACGUUAAUCGGGGCAGGGUGAGUCGACCCCUAAGGCGAGGCCGAAAGGCGUAGUCGAUGGGAAACGGGUUAAUAUUCCCGUACUUGGUGUUACUGCGAAGGGGGGACGGAGAAGGCUAUGUUGGCCGGGCGACGGUUGUCCCGGUUUAAGCGUGUAGGUGUGUGUUCCAGGUAAAUCCGGUUCACUUUAACACUGAGGCGUGACGACGAGGCACUACGGUGCUGAAGCAACAAAUGCCCUGCUUCCAGGAAAAGCCUCUAAGCAUCAGGUAACAUCAAAUCGUACCCCAAACCGACACAGGUGGUCAGGUAGAGAAUACCAAGGCGCUUGAGAGAACUCGGGUGAAGGAACUAGGCAAAAUGGUGCCGUAACUUCGGGAGAAGGCACGCUGACACGUAGGUGAAGUGAUUUACUCAUGGAGCUGAAGUCAGUCGAAGAUACCAGCUGGCUGCAACUGUUUAUUAAAAACACAGCACUGUGCAAACACGAAAGUGGACGUAUACGGUGUGACGCCUGCCCGGUGCCGGAAGGUUAAUUGAUGGGGUCAGCGCAAGCGAAGCUCCUGAUCGAAGCCCCGGUAAACGGCGGCCGUAACUAUAACGGUCCUAAGGUAGCGAAAUUCCUUGUCGGGUAAGUUCCGACCUGCACGAAUGGCGUAAUGAUGGCCAGGCUGUCUCCACCCGAGACUCAGUGAAAUUGAACUCGCUGUGAAGAUGCAGUGUACCCGCGGCAAGACGGAAAGACCCCGUGAACCUUUACUAUAGCUUGACACUGAACAUUGAGCCUUGAUGUGUAGGAUAGGUGGGAGGCUUUGAAGCGUGGACGCCAGUCUGCAUGGAGCCGACCUUGAAAUACCACCCUUUAAUGUUUGAUGUUCUAACGUGGACCCGUUACCCGGGUUGCGGACAGUGUCUGGUGGGUAGUUUGACUGGGGCGGUCUCCUCCUAAAGAGUAACGGAGGAGCACGAAGGUUGGCUAAUCCUGGUCGGACAUCAGGAGGUUAGUGCAAUGGCAUAAGCCAGCUUGACUGCGAGCGUGACGGCGCGAGCAGGUGCGAAAGCAGGUCAUAGUGAUCCGGUGGUUCUGAAUGGAAGGGCCAUCGCUCAACGGAUAAAAGGUACUCCGGGGAUAACAGGCUGAUACCGCCCAAGAGUUCAUAUCGACGGCGGUGUUUGGCACCUCGAUGUCGGCUCAUCACAUCCUGGGGCUGAAGUAGGUCCCAAGGGUAUGGCUGUUCGCCAUUUAAAGUGGUACGCGAGCUGGGUUUAGAACGUCGUGAGACAGUUCGGUCCCUAUCUGCCGUGGGCGCUGGAGAACUGAGGGGGGCUGCUCCUAGUACGAGAGGACCGGAGUGGACGCAUCACUGGUGUUCGGGUUGUCAUGCCAAUGGCACUGCCCGGUAGCUAAAUGCGGAAGAGAUAAGUGCUGAAAGCAUCUAAGCACGAAACUUGCCCCGAGAUGAGUUCU
rnacentral:rRNA from 1 species